rnacentral:rRNA from 1 species
AGCAGCCGCGGUAAUUCCAGCUCCAAUAGCGUAUAUUAAAGUUGUUGCAGUUAAAAAGCUCGUAGUUGAAUUUCGGGAUCAAUUUAUCGGUCGUGCCUAUGGUAUGAACUGGUACAAUUGGUUUCUCCCUUCUGACGAAGCAUGAUGUCAUUAAUUUGGUGUCGUGGGGAAUCAGGACUGUUACUUUGAAAAAAUUAGAGUGUUUAAAGCGGGCUUAGGCUUGAAUACAUUAGCAUGGAAUAAUGAAAUAGGACGUUUGAUCCUAUUUUGUUGGUUUCUAGGAUCGACGUAAUGAUUAAUAGGGAUAGUUGGGGGCAUUAGUAUUCAACUGUCAGAGGUGAAAUUCUUGGAUUUAUUGAAGACUAACUACUGCGAAAGCAUUUGCCAAGGAUGUUUUCAUUAAUCAAGAACGAAAGUUAGGGGAUCGAAGACGAUCAGAUACCGUCGUAGUCUUAACCAUAAACUAUGCCGACUAGGGAUCGGAUGAUGUUAAUUUUUAAUGACUCAUUCGGCGCCUUAC